UACAGAUAUUUAAGCUGCUUAGCAAUCCAUCAAACAAUACUUAUAGCACAAAGAAGUACCAAGUUCAAUAAAGUGAGGAGAAAAAAGUGCAUGUUUAGGCAUUACAAAUGACAAAAGCAAAACCAGAACAGAAGGUUAUAGCCAAAGAGACCAGACAAGACAAGAAAGCAAGUUGUUGGUAAAACUGUCAUUAAGAAGUUCAAUAGGAACUGCUUCCUUCAUAACAUCUUCUAGGGGAAACUCACAAGUAUUAACUGGCCUUACUAUAGUGGCUUACCAUGAUAAUUUGCAUUAAUCGACGGAAAGUAGUUUAAUGAUCUUCUUGAUGUGUACAAGAAGACAUUAAAGUCUGAUGGAAUUACUAGGCUCUACCGUGGAUUUAACAUUUAAUGCGUUGGAAGUAUUGUCUACCGUAGGCUUUAUUUUGGAUUGUACGAUUCCUUGAAUAAUUUUUUUCUAACUGGAAAGUUGUAGGUAUGUGUUUCAUUUUCAAAUAAUGUGUCUUGAAUGUAGUAUCUAUUUAUAUUUUUUAAGUUACUUACUUUUAGUAAAUGCAUUUGUGAAUUGUAAAUGCAAUUCAAAAUUGUCAAAAUUCUUAGUUUUUUUAAUAAAAUAGCUGCAUAAUUUCAUAUUGCUGAAGCUGACAUCUUAAUUCUCAUAUGAAAACAAUUAUGUUAUAUAAUUGUAAGAGAACAAUUUCUAUCAAAAGAAUUCUUGUCGAAUGAUGUUUUUCUUAGGCUACACUGAUACUCAUAAUCAAACCUUUAUUUUUAUGUAUGACAAGUCUGCAUAGUUUCAUAAGGUUUUUGUUUUUUAACAUUCUCUGAGCAUACUAAUGAUGUCAAUGCAGUCCACUUCAUGGCUAAUAACCAUUGUCUUCUAAGUGCAUCACUGGAUGGAACCGUUUGAGCGUGGGAUUUGUUUCGUUACCGGAAAUUUAGAACAUUUACUACUCCCUACACCCAGGCAUUUUUUUGCAUUGGCUUCAGAAAAAAGUGGUGAAAUAAUUUGUGACUGGCCGUCUAUUAGAUAUUCUUAGCGAUCAUGGAGGACCAGUUCAUGAUUUGAUGUUUUCGCCUACAAAUGGCUGGAGUAUGAGUAGAAAGAUGUGAACCUUUUUAAGGGAGAGCAGAUCAAUCCAGCUGCAGCUCUUUCACGAGACCAUAAUCCUGGCCAAACUUAUGAGCGUCAAAGGACUAAGGAUGCAGGAGGUUUGAUACUCUGGGCAGGAGUAAUCAAAAUUAGUUGCUAAACUGGCUGAGGAAGGAAAGAAAAAAAGUCUAUAAUUUGUUCCCACACACCGAUAUUUGUUCCCAAGAUUGAUUUCUGGAGUUUUUCUUUGAUUUGUGGAUGAAGCUGCCUUUGCCCGUGAGCUGAUAAAUGUGAUAUUUGUUCAGAUAUUGUAGAGCGAUCCUGUAGGGGAUCUGUUUCAUAAAAUUAGCCUAUGUGAAGUUAGCAAAGAGACAUAUGAAGAGAGUUGCAACUGAACUCCAAGUGAUGGGGGCAUCAAACAAGGACUCGGCUCUAGGGUAUAUGCUGCUUCAGGGAGUGAGAUUUGCUUUCAGAAUUCAUCGGUUUGCUGGAGGAUUUGAUUCCGAGACAAUGCAUGCAUUUGGGGAGCUAAGGAACCUUGCCCAUGUCAAAAAUAAGCUGUAAUUAAGAGGGGUAAUUAAAUAGCUGAAGUUGCUUACCUUCUCAUUAAGCAACCUAUAAACUCUAUGCAUCUUUUGUUUUAUUUUGGCGCUUGACUUUGUUGGAUGGAGUUCCAGAUGAACGGUUGUGUUUUUGUAUAGUUUGUAGCAAAAAUGCUGUAACUCAAAAGAAGAGGAGGGGGAGAUUAAAAAAUUGACUAGGCCUUGGAGGUUCAUUGAUCUUUA